AUUGAACGCUGGCGGCAUGCCUUACACAUGCAAGUCGAACGGCAGCAUGGGUGCUUGCACCUGAUGGCGAGUGGCGAACGGGUGAGUAAUGCAUCGGAACGUACCCGGAAGUGGGGGAUAACGUAGCGAAAGUUACGCUAAUACCGCAUAUUCUGUGAGCAGGAAAGCGGGGGAUCGCAAGACCUCGCGCUUCCGGAGCGGCCGAUGUCGGAUUAGCUAGUUGGCGGGGGAAAGGCCCACCAAGGCAACGAUCCGUAGCGGGUCUGAGAGGAUGGUCCGCCACACUGGGACUGAGACACGGCCCAGACGCCGACGGGAGGCAGCAGUGGGGAAUUUUGGACAGUGGGGGCAACCCUGAUCCAGCCCUGCCGCGUGAGUGAAGAAGGCCUUCGGGUUGUAAAGCUCUUUCGGCUGGGAAGAAAUCGCAUCUCCUAAUACGGGGUGUGGAUGACGGUACCAGCAUAAGAAGCACCGGCUAACUACGUGCCAGCAGCCGCGGUAAAAC
rnacentral:rRNA from 1 species